GUCAGUGUGGUGUAGUGAUUUGAACAUUCGACAAUUACUCUGAAGAACAGGGUUUGAAUCCCUGCUCAGCCA